rnacentral:rRNA from 1 species
AGACCCGAAACCCGGUGAUCUAGCCAUGGGCAGGUUGAAGGUUGGGUAACACUAACUGGAGGACCGAACCGACUAAUGUUGAAAAAUUAGCGGAUGACCUGUGGCUGGGGGUGAAAGGCCAAUCAAACCGGGAGAUAGCUGGUUCUCCCCGAAAGCUAUUUAGGUAGCGCCUCGUGAAUUCAUCUCCGGGGGUAGAGCACUGUUUCGGCUAGGGGGCCAUCCCGGCUUACCAACCCGAUGCAAACUGCGAAUACCGGAGAAUGUUAUCACGGGAGACACACGGCGGGUGCUAACGUCCGUCGUGAAGAGGGAAACAACCCAGACCGCCAGCUAAGGUCCCAAAGUCAUGGUUAAGUGGGAAACGAUGUGGGAAGGCCCAGACAGCCAGGAUGUUGGCUUAGAAGCAGCCAUCAUUUAAAGAAAGCGUAAUAGCUCACUGGUCGAGUCGGCCUGCGCGGAAGAUGUAACGGGGCUAAACCAUGCACCGAAGCUGCGGCAGCGACACUGUGUGUUGUUGGGUAGGGGAGCGUUCUGUAAGCCUGUGAAGGUGUGUCGUGAGGCAUGCUGGAGGUAUCAGAAGUGCGAAUGCUGACAUAAGUAACGAUAAAGCGGGUGAAAAGCCCGCUCGCCGGAAGACCAAGGGUUCCUGUCCAACGUUAAUCGGGGCAGGGUGAGUCGACCCCUAAGGCGAGGCCGAAAGGCGUAGUCGAUGGGAAACGGGUUAAUAUUCCCGUACUUGGUGUUACUGCGAAGGGGGGACGGAGAAGGCUAUGUUGGCCGGGCGACGGUUGUCCCGGUUUAAGCGUGUAGGUGUGUGUUCCAGGUAAAUCCGGUUCACUUUAACACUGAGGCGUGACGACGAGGCACUACGGUGCUGAAGCAACAAAUGCCCUGCUUCCAGGAAAAGCCUCUAAGCAUCAGGUAACAUCAAAUCGUACCCCAAACCGACACAGGUGGUCAGGUAGAGAAUACCAAGGCGCUUGAGAGAACUCGGGUGAAGGAACUAGGCAAAAUGGUGCCGUAACUUCGGGAGAAGGCACGCUGACACGUAGGUGAAGUGAUUUACUCAUGGAGCUGAAGUCAGUCGAAGAUACCAGCUGGCUGCAACUGUUUAUUAAAAACACAGCACUGUGCAAACACGAAAGUGGACGUAUACGGUGUGACGCCUGCCCGGUGCCGGAAGGUUAAUUGAUGGGGUCAGCGCAAGCGAAGCUCCUGAUCGAAGCCCCGGUAAACGGCGGCCGUAACUAUAACGGUCCUAAGGUAGCGAAAUUCCUUGUCGGGUAAGUUCCGACCUGCACGAAUGGCGUAAUGAUGGCCAGGCUGUCUCCACCCGAGACUCAGUGAAAUUGAACUCGCUGUGAAGAUGCAGUGUACCCGCGGCAAGACGGAAAGACCCCGUGAACCUUUACUAUAGCUUGACACUGAACAUUGAGCCUUGAUGUGUAGGAUAGGUGGGAGGCUUUGAAGUGUGGACGCCAGUCUGCAUGGAGCCGACCUUGAAAUACCACCCUUUAAUGUUUGAUGUUCUAACGUGGACCCGUUACCCGGGUUGCGGACAGUGUCUGGUGGGUAGUUUGACUGGGGCGGUCUCCUCCUAAAGAGUAACGGAGGAGCACGAAGGUUGGCUAAUCCUGGUCGGACAUCAGGAGGUUAGUGCAAUGGCAUAAGCCAGCUUGACUGCGAGCGUGACGGCGCGAGCAGGUGCGAAAGCAGGUCAUAGUGAUCCGGUGGUUCUGAAUGGAAGGGCCAUCGCUCAACGGAUAAAAGGUACUCCGGGGAUAACAGGCUGAUACCGCCCAAGAGUUCAUAUCGACGGCGGUGUUUGGCACCUCGAUGUCGGCUCAUCACAUCCUGGGGCUGAAGUAGGUCCCAAGGGUAUGGCUGUUCGCCAUUUAAAGUGGUACGCGAGCUGGGUUUAGAACGUCGUGAGACAGUUCGGUCCCUAUCUGCCGUGGGCGCUGGAGAACUGAGGGGGGCUGCUCCUAGUACGAGAGGACCGGAGUGGACGCAUCACUGGUGUUCGGGUUGUCAUGCCAAUGGCACUGCCCGGUAGCUAAAUGCGGAAGAGAUAAGUGCUGAAAGCAUCUAAGCACGAAACUUGCCCCGAGAUGAGUUCUCCCUGAGACUUAGAGUCUCCUGAAGGAACGUUGAAGACGACGACGUUGAUAGGCCGGGUGUGUAAGCGCAGCGA